AAGUCGAACGAAGGCUUCGGCCUUAGUGGCGCACGGGUGCGUAACGCGUGGGAAUCUGCCCUCAGGUUCGGAAUAACAGCGAGAAAUUGCUGCUAAUACCGGAUGAUAUCGCGAGAUCAAAGAUUUAUCGCCUGAGGAUGAGCCCGCGUAGGAUUAGCUAGUUGGUGUGGUAAAGGCGCACCAAGGCGACGAUCCUUAGCUGGUCUGAGAGGAUGAUCAGCCACACUGGGACUGAGACACGGCCCAGACUCCUACGGGAGGCAGCAGUGGGGAAUAUUGGACAAUGGGCGAAAGCCUGAUCCAGCAAUGCCGCGUGAGUGAUGAAGGCCUUAGGGUUGUAAAGCUCUUUUACCCGGGAUGAUAAUGACAGUACCGGGAGAAUAAGCUCCGGCUAACUCCGUGCCAGCAGCCGCGGUAAUACGGAGGGAGCUAGCGUUAUUCGGAAUUACUGGGCGUAAAGCGCACGUAGGCGGCUUUGUAAGUUAGAGGUGAAAGCCUGGAGCUCAACUCCAGAAUUGCCUUUAAGACUGCAUCGCUUGAAUCCAGGAGAGGUGAGUGGAAUUCCGAGUGUAGAGGUGAAAUUCGUAGAUAUUCGGAAGAACACCAGUGGCGAAGGCGGCUCACUGGACUGGUAUUGACGCUGAGGUGCG
rnacentral:rRNA from 1 species